CAGAGGUCUGCUGCACAGACUUACUUUUAUUUUUCAAUGGGCGAAAUAGACCUAAGACUCUUAGAGUCCAGCCCAUCUAUUGGGGCUGAUCUCCUGGCACAGAGAAGAUCAUGAAUCACUGCCACAUGGAAAAAGCAAAAGAAUAUUUAACGGGCAACUUGACCUCUGGUCAGAACAUCCCAAACAGUUGAGAGCAAGGACAGAGCCUUUGGUAUUAAAUGCCUCUGAACUGAAAGGGCGGGAAGGCAGUGUUCCGGCUCUUGUGCUUCGGACAUGGAGCAACUUCUUUCAACCACUUGUCACAGGCUACGUGGGCAGCUCGUGCGUUCUGGAAUUUCUGAGGGAGACUUACCAAGUGCUUUCUGCUGAGACUGACGCAGCCAAGCGGGGGCAUCUGCGUGCCAGGAAUAUAUGGUUGCAUAAAACUGCAUCUUGGAGGAGCAUGAGAAUAAUGGCAGCCAGGCCAGCCUUGGGGCCUGGGUGCUGGAGCUGGAGCUGGAGCUUGGGUCCUGGGGUAUCAUCUACCACCUUCUUUGCCACACGGCUCUCACUGCUGGCGUCUGGACCCCACGUGUUGCUGCUGCAGCCGCCCUUGGCGCUGUCGGGAUUCUCAUCACAAGCCAAGGCCCCAUGCACCUGGUAAGUUGAUGAGCUGGUGACAUAUAAAAUGAUAAAACCCCUAGAAGAAAGCAAAGAGAAAAAAACGUCAUGACCUUGGUAAUGAUUCCUUGGAUUUGACAGCAAAACGCAGGUACCAAAAGCAAAGAUAGAUAAACUGGACAACAUAAAACUUAAGAACUUUUGUUCAUCACAAGACAGAAUCAACAAAGUGGAAAGGCAACCUGUGGAAUGAGAGAAAAUAUUGCAGAUCACAUAUUUGAUAAGGGGUUGAUAUCCGGAAUGUAUAAAGAACUCCUAGAGCUCAGGCAAAACAAAUCCAGUAACCCAAUUAAAAAAUAGGCAAAGACCUUGAGUAUAUGUCUCUAAAAAUGAUACACAAAUGGCCAAGAAGACAAUGAAAGGAUGCUCAACAUCACUAAUCAGCAGAGAAAUGCAAAUCUAAACCCUAGUGAGAUAGCACUUCACCCCCCUUAGGAUAGUUACUGUCCCCAAACAGAGAAUACAAGUGUUGAUAGGGAUGUGGAGAAGUUGGAACACUUGUGUGCUUAGUGGAAGUGUAAAACACUGUAACCGCUAUGGAAGACAUUAUGGAGCGUCCCAGAAACUUAAAAAUAGAACCACCGUAUAUGAUCCAGAAAUUACACCUCUGGCUGUAUCUCCAAAAGAAUUGAAACCAGGGCUCAAAGAGAUAGCAGUGUCCAAUCCUCUCCACUCCUGGGUGAGGAAACUGAAUGCAGAGGGCUCACUGGCCGAUGAAUAGAAAGUCAGGAAGAGGACAACCAGAGGUCCUUUCUCCGUCUGUUCUUGGCUUCAGUUUCCUACAGGCUCACAUGCCCGCCCACCUGCAGCCUAUCCUCUGCCUCGUUUGCUCCCAUCCGUCCUUCUGUCCCUUGGUCUCCCCUCAUCCCUAAUGCACGCUGUGCUCCAGCUAAGCUGCUACACCCACUCUUCCCUGGGCAAAACACUGGCUGCAUUUCCUCCUUGCCUUUGCCCCUUUGUCUCCCUUUGCUCUCCUUCCCUCCUAAUCUAACUGUCGGAACCCCAGCCAUGCUCUGGAUCCAUCCAAAUGGCACUUCGGCAUGCCUAAAAAACAAAGCUGGAAAGAAUUUCUCCGUCCUCUGUGUUUCUAUGACACUCUGUGUUCUUAUCAGACCAUCC
ensembl:lncRNA